AGUGAACGCUGGCGGCAGGCCUAACACAUGCAAGUCGAGCGGCAGCGCGGGGGCAACCCUGGCGGCGAGCGGCGGACGGGUGAGGAAUUCGUCGGAAUCUGCCUUUUUGUGGGGGAUAACGUAGGGAAACUUACGCUAAUACCGCAUACGUCCUACGGGAGAAAGUGGGGGACCGCAAGGCCUCACGCAGAAAGAUGAGCCGACGACCGAUUAGCUAGUUGGUGGGGUAAAGGCCCACCAAGGCGACGAUCGGUAGCUGGUCUGAGAGGAUGAUCAGCCACACGGGAACUGAGACACGGCCCAGACUCCGACGGGAGGCAGCAGUGGGGAAUAUUGGACAAUGGGCGCAAGCCUGAUCCAGCCAUGCCGCGUGUGUGAAGAAGGCCUUCGGGUUGUAAAGCACUUUUGUCCGGAAAGAAAUCCCUGGAGCUAAUACCUUCGGGGGAUGACGGUACCGGAAGAAUAAGCACCGGCUAACUUCGUG
rnacentral:rRNA from 1 species